rnacentral:rRNA from 1 species
CGCAUUCAGUUGCCAUCGGGUAAUGCCGGGCGACUCUGGAAGGACUGCCAUCGACAAGAUGGAGGAAGGUGGGGAUGACGUCAAGUCAUCAUGGCCCUUAUGUCCAGGGCGACACACGUGCUACAAUGGCCGGCACAACGGGAAGCGAGUUCGCGAGGACGAGCGGAUCCCUUAAAGCCGGUCGCAGUUCGGAUUGAAGUCUGCAACUCGACUUCAUGAAGCUGGAAUCGCUAGUAAUCGUGGAUCAGCCAAGCCGCGGUGAAUACGUUCCCGGGCCUU